rnacentral:rRNA from 1 species
CCUACGGGGGGCAGCAGUGGGGAAUAUUGGACAAUGGGGGAAACCCUGAUCCAGCGACGCCGCGUGAGUGAAGAAGUAUUUCGGUACGUAAAGCUCUAUCAGCAGGGAAGAAAAUGACGGUACCUGACGAAGAAGCCCCGGCUAACUACGUGCCAGCAGCCGCGGUAAUACGUAGGGGGCAAGCGUUAUCCGGAUUUACUGGGUGGAAAGGGAGCGUGGACGGCAGCGAAAGUCUGGAGUGAAAUGCCGGGGCCCAACCCCGGAACUGCUCUGGAAACUGUGAAGCUGGAGUGCAGGAGAGGUAAGCGGAAUUCCUGGUGUAGCGGUGAAAUGCGUAGAUAUCAGGAGGAACACCGGCGGCGAAGGCGGCUUACUGGACUGUAACUGACGUUGAGGCUCGAAGGCGUGGGGAGCAAACAGGAUUAGAUAUCCCAGUAGUC